UUAAGUUCAGCGGGUAGUCCUACCUGAUUUGAGGUCAGAUUUCAAAAUGUUGACUGCCACUCCAAGGGCGAGUCGAGGGAGGACAACAAUAGGGGAACAUCUCAGUCAGAGCGAGGAUGAUACAACGCCCAACGAGUCCGACCCACAGGUCCAACCGACACAUUUGAGGGGAGCAGCCUUGCGGCAGCAGGCCCCCAUAU
rnacentral:misc_RNA from 1 species